rnacentral:rRNA from 1 species
AAGCUUGCUUCUUUCAAAUCUAGUGGCAAACGGGUGAGUAACACGUAAACAACCUGCCUUCAGGAUGGGGACAACAGACGGAAACGACUGCUAAUACCGAAUACGUUCCUUAGGUCGCAUGAUCUUAGGAAGAAAGGGUGGCCUCUACCUGUAAGCUAUCGCCUGAAGAGGGGUUUGCGUCUGAUUAGGUAGUUGGUGAGGUAACGGCCCACCAAGCCGACGAUCAGUAGCCGGUCUGAGAGGAUGAACGGCCACACUGGAACUGAGACACGGUCCAGACUCC